rnacentral:rRNA from 1 species
GAUGAACGCUGACAGAAUGCUUAACACAUGCAAGUCUUUGGCGAAUCUGCGCUUGCGCAGGCUAGCCAAGGCGGACGGGUGAGUAGCGCGUAAAGAGCUUGCCCUGCAGACAGGGAUAACAGACGGAAACGACUGACAACACCCGAUACGGUUGCCGGCACGCAUGUGCCAGGCAAUGAAAAGCGAUGCUGCAGGAGAGCUUUGCGUCCUAUUAGCUUGUUGGUGAGGUAACGGCUCACCAAGGCGACGAUAGGUAGCCGGCCUGAGAGGGUGAACGGCCACAAAGGGACUGAGAUACGGCCCUUACUCCUACGGGAGGCAGCAGUGGGGAAUAUUGGACAAUGGGGGCAACCCUGAUCCAGCAAUUCUGUGUGCACGAAGAAGGCUUUCGGGCUGUAAAGUGCUUUCAGCAGGGAAGAAGCAAGUGACG